ACUGUGGUUAAAGUACUUGGCUGUUAACCAAAAGGUUGGUGGUUCAAACCCACU
rnacentral:tRNA from 1 species